rnacentral:rRNA from 1 species
CCUACGGGUGGCAGCAGUGGGGAAUAUUGCACAAUGGGGGAAACCCUGAUGCAGCAACGCCGCGUGAGUGAAGAAGGAUCUCGGUUCGUAAAGUCCUUUUAUCAGAGAAGAAAAUGACGGUACCUAACGAAUAAGCACCGGCUAACUACGUGCCAGCAGCCGCGGUAAUACGUAGGGUGCAAGCGUUAUCCGGAUUUACUGGGUGUAAAGGGCGCGUAGGCGGGAGAACAAGUCCGAUGUGAAAUCCCAGGGCUUAACCCCGGAACUGCAUUGGAAACUGUUAGGCUAGAGUACAGGAGGGGUAAGUGGAAUUCCUAGUGUAGCGGUGAAAUGCGUAGAGAUUAGGAGGAACACCGAUGGCGAAGGCGGCUUACUGGAACGUAACUGACGCUGAGGCGCGAAAGCGUGGGGAGCAAACAGGAUUAGAUACCCGGGUAGUC